rnacentral:lncRNA from 1 species
GGGAUGCUCAUUUUCGCCGGGGACACAAUUUCGCCGUUUAAGGAUUUUGAGGUGUAAAAACUUCAAAGGAUGGCUGAAAUGGAAGAAAUGUACCCGUAAAUUAUAUUUUUAUAACAAAUAUAAUAUUUUUUUAAACUGAGACAAAAUUGCGGCUCCUACCAAAAAUGACCGAAAAACGGACAACGAUUUUCGGACAAUUUCCUGA